AAUAGCUUCAUAAUGCAAGCCAAACAUCGAUGGUUGGAUGUUCACGUUGAAUAAUAUUGCGAUCAUUCAAUGACAAGGAAGAAAAGGGAUACAUAUAAAAGAUCAUAACGGCAGCUAGGCACAUUCUUUCAGCGGCUGUGCCUCUUAUUCACCACACACGUGUUGCCACACGAAUGGCACACGUUUUACUCAAUUCAUCUGACUCUAAUGAAGCAGACGUUUGUAUGACUCAAUUGGAUUACUCGCCUAUACAUCUUGCACAAAUCUUUUGCAGGGAUCUCGCAGAUGUGCAGCAAACAGCUGUGCGCAUUUUUUUCUAGCACAGGCAGGUGCUAGCACAUGCCAUGGUACGUUAACGUUGUUUCGUCUUUAUUGCAGGGAAACACACUCUGCGUCUCUAGAAAAGCGCUAACGCUCCACAUACGAUAAGUGCAUGCGUAGUCAAUAUCGCACUAGCACGGCAGCGACGGCAGCAGCACCGGUGGCUCUGAUACGCCUGGACCGUCCGUAUUAAUGCCAUGAAAAUAAAAGAAGACCUCAGAUGGUCUUAACAGAUGGACUUUGGGACCCUCGCCUGUAUGCUACUACCAACCAACUUUGUAUCUUGAAUGAACGAUAAACUGAAACUGAAACUGAAACGCGGGUCCACCUUGAUGAAGACCUGGAUGGAUGACAGCUCGCCCCAAUGUCGCCAGCGAAAUGAUGAUGAUGAUGAUGAUGACGCCUCAAUCAAUGGCACAAACCCACUAUGGGGGAUAGGCCAUGAAUCGGGUGGUAAUAUGAUUGAAUCAAUAAAAGAAUUUGGUUAAUAAAUAACUAACACAAAAAAGUAAAGUAAAUAUAUAAUCCAAGAUGAAAAAUAAUCUGUGAACACAUGAGUAAAACUAGUGAUCAGUACCAUAGUAAACCUUGCGUUGAUAGGAAU